rnacentral:rRNA from 1 species
UACGUAGGGGGCAAGCGUUGUCCGGAAUCAUUGGGCGUAAAGAGCGUGUAGGCGGCCCGGUAAGUCCGCUGUGAAAGUCCAGGGCUCAACCCUGGGAUGCCGGUGGAUACUGUCGGGCUCGAGUCCGGAAGAGGAGUGUGGAAUUCCUGGUGUAGCGGUGAAAUGCGCAGAUAUCAGGAGGAACACCAAUGGCGAAGGCAGCACUCUGGGACGUGACUGACGCUGAGGUGCGAAAGCGUGGGGAGCAACAGG